GAUGUAGCUCAAAUGGUAGAGCGCUCGCUUUGCAUGCGAGAGGCACGGGGUUCGAUCCCCCAAAACAUUA
rnacentral:tRNA from 1 species